rnacentral:rRNA from 1 species
AGUUCGGAUUGUAGGCUGCAACUCGCCUACAUGAAGUUGGAAUCGCUAGUAAUCGCGAAUCAGAAUGUCGCGGUGAAUACGUUCCCGGGUCUUGUACACACCGCCCGUCACACCACGAGAGUUUACAACACCCGAAGUCAGUGGCCUAACCGCAAGGAGGGAGCUGCCUAAGGUGGAGUAGAUGAUUGGGGUGAAGUCGUAACAAGGUAUC